rnacentral:rRNA from 1 species
AACGAACGCUGGCGGCAUGCCUAACACAUGCAAGUCGAACGGGAUCCUAGCUUGCUAGGUGAGAGUGGCGGACGGGUGAGUAACACGUGGGAAUCUGCCUUUUGGUUCGGGAUAACCGCGGGAAACUGCGGCUAAUACCGAAUGCCCUCGAGAGAGGAAAGAUUUAUCGCCAGAAGAGGAGCCCGCGUCCGAUUAGCUAGUUGGCGGUGUAAUGGACCACCAAGGCUACGAUCCAUAGCUGGUCUGAGAGGACGACCAGCCACACUGGGACUGAGACACGGCCCAGACUCCUACGGGAGGCAGCAGUGGGGAAUCUUCCGCAAUGGGCGAAAAGCCUGACGGAGCGACACCGCGUGAAGGAUGAAGCCUUUAUUGGUGUAAACUUCUUUCUGUGGAAGAUGAUGACGGUACCACAGGAAUAAGGGCGGCAAACUAUGUGCCAGCAGCCGCGGUAAU